rnacentral:rRNA from 1 species
AUUGAACGCUGGCGGCAUGCUUUACACAUGCAAGUCGAACGGCAGCACGGACUUCGGUCUGGUGGCGAGUGGCGAACGGGUGAGUAAUACAUCGGAACGUACCCAGUAAUGGGGGAUAACUAUCCGAAAGGAUAGCUAAUACCGCAUACGCCCUACGGGGGAAAGAGGGGGAUCGCAAGACCUCUUGUUAUUGGAGCGGCCGAUGGCUGAUUAGCUAGUUGGUGAGGUAAAGGCUCACCAAGGCGACGAUCAGUGGCGGGUCUUAGAGGACGAUCCGCCACACUGGAACUGAGACACGGUCCAGACUCCUACGGGAGGCAGCAGUGGGGAAUCUUGGACAAUGGGCGCAAGCCUGAUCCAGCAAUGCCGCGUGCGUGAAGAAGGCCUUCGGGUUGUAAAGCGCUUUUGUCAGGGAGCAAAUCCUUGUGGCUAAUACCCACCGGGGAUGAGAGUACCUGAAGAAUAAGGACCGGCUAACUACGUGCCAGCAGCCGCGGUAA